CAGCACAUAUACUAACAUUGGAAGCAUACAGAGAAUAGAUUAGCAUGGCUCUGCUCAAGGAAAACAUGCAAAUUUGUGAAGCUUUCCAUUUUUUA
rnacentral:snRNA from 1 species